AAUGAAGGAACAGUGAUUGAAAAAACAUGAACAAGUCUGAGUAAGAUAUUUUUUGUGAAGAAUCUCUUUGAGCACGUAGCCCUCUCCUGCUCCAACUGCCCUAUAACUGAGGUCUAUCUCAGGCUGAGUUCAAAAAAGGAUGUUGCACUCUAGGGUCAUCAGCUUUCAUCAGCUCUGCUCCAGAAGUGUGAGGAGUAUCUCUUGAGCUCAGUAUCUGGUGAUCCAACAGACCUUUAAGGUAUAUUCCAGUCUCUUGUAAGAUCACCAGAGGAAUUAAUCUGAAGAAUUCAUCUGACUUCCAUCAGUCCUGUUUGUAGCAAGGGAACAAAAUGUGGGCACUUUUGAUUCACUCAGAUGUUAUAGUAAGAGGAAACUGCCAGAGAUCAAAAUGAGUGCCUGUAUGCAUACUGUGCAUAUAGUACAAUUUGGAUGCCAUUUUCUCUGAAGUGCGUGUCUUCUGCUGUCCUUCAUCAUACCCAUGAUCCCCAAGAAGCUGUGUUUCCUACUGCAGGCAGUACAAUAAGGUCCUGUGUCUGCCCCAUGUCUGUGUCUUAGGUA